UCCAGACUUUGAUCCUGGCUCAGGAUGAACGCUAGCUACAGGCUUAACACAUGCAAGUCGAGGGGAAACGACAUCGAAAGCUUGCUUUUGAUGGGCGUCGACCGGCGCACGGGUGAGUAACGCGUAUCCAACCUGCCCAUCACUUGGGGAUAACCUUGCGAAAGUAAGACUAAUACCCAAUGACGUCUCUAGAAGACAUCUGAAAGAGAUUAAAGAUUUAUCGGUGAUGGAUGGGGAUGCGUCUGAUUAGCUUGUUGGCGGGGUAACGGCCCACCAAGGCAACGAUCAGUAGGGGUUCUGAGAGGAAGGUCCCCCACAUUGGAACUGAGACACGGUCCAAACUCCUACGGGAGGCAGCAGUGAGGAAUAUUGGUCAAUGGGCGAGAGCCUGAACCAGCCAAGUAGCGUGCAGGAUGACGGCCCUAUGGGUUGUAAACUGCUUUUAUAAGGGAAUAGAGUGAGUCUCGUGAGACUUUUUGCAUGUACCUUAUGAAUAAGGACCGGCUAAUUCCGUGCCAGCAGCCGCGGUAAUACGGAAGGUCCGGGCGUUAUCCGGAUUUAUUGGGUUUAAAGGGAGCGUAGGCCGGAGAUUAAGCGUGUUGUGAAAUGUAGACGCUCAACGUCUGCACUGCAGCGCGAACUGGUUUCCUCGAGUACGCACAAAGUGGGCGGAAUUCGUGGUGUAGCGGUGAAAUGCUUAGAUAUCACGAAGAACUCCGAUUGCGAAGGCAGCUCACUGGAGCGCAACUGACGCUGAAGCUCGAAAGUGCGGGUAUCGAACAGGAUUAGAUACCCUGGUAGUCCGCACGGUAAACGAUGGAUGCCCGCUGUUGGUCUGAAUAGGUCAGCGGCCAAGCGAAAGCAUUAAGCAUCCCACCUGGGGAGUACGCCGGCAACGGUGCAACUCAAAGGAAUUGACGGA
rnacentral:rRNA from 1 species